rnacentral:rRNA from 1 species
GACGAACGCUGGCGGCGUGCUUAACACAUGCAAGUCGAACGGACAGGCCCUGCUUUUGUGGGGUUCUCGAUUGGCGAACGGGUGAGUAACACGUGAGUAACCUGCCCUUGACUUUGGGAUAACUUCAGGAAACUGGGGCUAAUACCGGAUAGGAGCUCCUGCUGCAUGGUGGGGGUUGGAAAGUUUCGGCGGUUGGGGAUGGACUCGCGGCUUAUCAGCUUGUUGGUGGGGUAGUGGCUUACCAAGGUUUUGACGGGUAGCCGGCCUGAGAGGGUGACCGGCGACAUUGGGACUGAGAUACGGCCCAGACGCCUACGGUACGCAGCAGUGGGGAAUAUGGCACAAUGGGCGGAAGCCUGAGGCAGCAACGCCGCGUGCGGGAUGACGUCCUUCGGGUUGUAAACCGCUUUCGCCGGUGACGAAGCGGGAGUGACGGUAAUGGGUAAAGAAGCACCGGCUAACUACGUG